AUACAGAGGAUGCAAGCGUUAAUCGGAAUUACUGGGCGUAAAGCGCGCGUAGGCGGUUUGUUAAGUUGGAUGUGAAAGCCCCGGGCUUAACCUGGGAGGGUCAUUCAAAACUGGCAGACUAGAGUGUGGUAGAGGGUAGUGGAAUUCCUAGUGUAGCGGUGAAAUGCGUAGAGAUUAGGAGGAACACCAGUGGCGAAGGCGACUGCCUGGACCAACACUGACGCUGAGGUGCGAAAGCGUGGGUAGCGAACAGGAUUAGAAACCCCGGUAGUCC
rnacentral:rRNA from 1 species